ACGAAGGGGGCUAGCGUUGCUCGGAAUCACUGGGCGUAAAGGGCGCGUAGGCGGCUUGCCAAGUCGGGGGUGAAAGCCCGUGGCUCAACCACGGAAUGGCUUCGAUACUGGCAGGCUUGAGACCCGCCGAGGACAGCGGAACUGCGAGUGUAGAGGUGAAAUUCGUAGAUAUGUCAAGA
rnacentral:rRNA from 1 species